UUUUAUGCUUCAAAAACAUUCUAAAUGAAAUAAAACUUUCCAUCGAUUUCACCAUUCUCCUCUCCUCCACCAGAUAUCCAUUUCACCCCCCUCCCCGGCGAUUCGCCCCACCAGCCGCAACCACGAUGAGAUCUGCCCCUUCCACCUUCUCCGAUGCCACCUCCAUUUCCCUUCUCUCCCCGACGAUCUGACCUCUCGGCGAUUCGACCCACCAGAUAUGGCCACGAUGAGAUCUGCCCCUUCCACCUUCUCCGAUGCCAGCGAUAUUUCCAUUUCCUCGGCGAUCUGCCCUCCCGGUGAUUCCACCCACCGGCCGCAGCCUCGAUAAGAUCUGCCCCUUCCACAUUUUCCGAUGCCACCUCCAUUUCCAUCCCCCGGCGAUCUUUCCUACCGACGAUUCGACCCAUCGGCCGCAACCGCGAUAAGAUCUGCCCCUUCCACCUUCUCCGAUGCUACCUCAAUUUUCCUCCCCCUCCCCCGACGAUCUGCCCCUUCCACCUUCUCCGACGCUGCCAUGGUUUUUACGUUGGCUGAGGUCUCCGAGCACAACACCAACAAGGUCACCGAGCACUGCAUAAAAAGGAGAUGUCAACAUCAAACAAGCAAAUUCAAUUGAAUGCCAUAAAUGAUAAAACAAGAAAUAAGCUUGUGGUGGUUAGGAUACUUCGAUUGUGGAUUCAAAAGGACAUAACAAGCAGGGAAGGAAUCGAUUAGUGAUCCUUGCGCUCUCCUUAAUUCAAGGUCUCAUAUGGCAUGUCUAAUAAUCCAGUACUUUAAAUCCCUGCAAUUCUAGAACUUCUAGCUUAAUUCUAUAUCGCUAACGCGACAAUAUAAUUCCACAUAAGCUAUAUUUUAUAUAUACAUUAUUUUAUUUAUUACUAUAUUAUACAUCACAUUACACGUUUUCUGCUUCAAAAACAUUCUAAAUGAAAUAAAACAUUCCAUCGAUUUCACCAUUCUCUUCUCCUCCAUCAAAUAUCCAUUUCACCCUCUCCCCGACGAUUCGCCCCACCGGCCGCAGUCACGAUGGGAUCUGCCCCUUCCAUCUUUUCCGAUGCCACCUCCAUUUCCCUCAUUCCCCGCCGAUUUGACCUCCCAGCGAUUCGACCCACCAGAUAUGGCCACGAUGAGAUCUGCCCUUUCCAUCUUCUCCGAUGUCAGCGAUAUUUCCAUUCCCCCGCCGAUCUGUCCUCCCAGCGAUUCCACCCACCGACCGCAGCCUCGAUAAGAUCUGCCCCUUCCACCUUUUCCGAUGCCAUCUCCAUUUCCAUCCCCCCGGCGAUCUGCCCUACUGGCGAUUCGACCCAUCGGUCGUAGCCGCCGCGAUGAGAUCUGCCCCUUCCACCUUCUCCGAUGCUACCUCCAUUUUCCUCCCCCCCGACGAUCUGCCCCUUCCACCUUCUCCGAUGCUGCCAUGAUAUUUUUUUUUGCUGGUUUUUUUAGUCCACCGAUUUAACAAAAAUAAUUAAUCAUAUACUAACUAAUUUUCGAUUGCUGAUACACCAAAUUAUAGAAUGAUUCGAUUGCUGGUAAUUAUAGAAUGAUUGUAAACUUAGA